rnacentral:tRNA from 1 species
GGCCUAUUAGCUUAGUUGGUUAGAGCAUCGUGCUAAUAACACGAAGAUCGGAGGUUUGAGACUUGCAUGGGCUA